UACGUAGGGGGCUAGCGUUGUCCGGAAUCAUUGGGCGUAAAGAGCGUGUAGGCGGCCCGGUAAGUCCGCUGUGAAAGUCGGGGGCUCAACCUUCGAAUGCCGGUGGAUACUGUCGGGCUAGAGUGCGGAAGAGGCGAGUGGAAUUCCUGGUGUAGCGGUGAAAUGCGCAGAUAUCAGGAGGAACACCGGUGGCGAAGGCGGGUCUCUGGGCCGAUACUGACGCUGAGGAGCGAAAGCGUGGGGAGCGAACAGG
rnacentral:rRNA from 1 species